AGAGGCGUGUUUGCGCACGAACGUUAAAAUCGAAUAAAUAGUCGUCUGCAGAAAGCUCGAAGCAGACGUCACAAUAGACCACGACGUCGUGGUAGAAUAACAGUGGGGCGCGAGCAAGUGUCAAUUUGAUUAUUGUCAUCAUUCUCUCGUGAGUAUCGGUGAUUCUGUCAAGACCGUUCGGAAUUUCUACCGAUGAUCGGCAAAUCGCGUCUACGUUUUCCUGUGGGUGCCGUGAGGCGGCGAGAAAGGCCACCUCUUUAAAUUAAAAGAAGGAAUGACGCUGGAGAAUCCGUUCUUUGUCGUCAAGGACGAAGUUUGUAAGGCCUUAAAUAAAAAUCGCGGUUUGUACGGACGCUGGACGGAAUUACAAGAUGUUGUUGUCACGAGUCCGAAUGUGAGUGGGGGAAUCCCAAUUUCACGGGACGAAUUAGAGUGGACAACCACCGAAUUACGGAAAGCCUUACGUUCGAUCGAAUGGGAUCUUGAUGAUCUAGAAGACACGAUCCGUAUUGUAGAAAAGAAUCCAACAAAAUUUAAGAUAGAUAAUAAGGAAUUAACGGUUCAACGAAGUUUUAUCGAACAAACUCGAGAGGAAGUUAAGAUCAUGAAGGAUAAAAUGAAUUUAAGUAGAGGUCGGGACCGCGAUAAUACAGCAAGGCAGCCACUUUUGGACAACAGUCCAGCCAGAGUUCCUGUCAACCAUGGUACAACUAAGUACAGUAAAUUGGAAAAUGAAAUUGAUAGUCCAAAUAGGCAAUUUUUGGGAGAUACGUUACAACAACAAAAUGACAUGAUGAGACAACAAGAUGAACAAUUAGAUAUGAUAGGUGAAAGCAUUGGAACUCUUAAAACAGUUUCUAGGCAAAUCAACACUGAAUUAGACGAACAGGCAGUUAUGCUAGAUGAAUUUGGUAAUGAGUUAGAAGUAACGGAUUCCAAGCUGGAUGCGACAAUGAAAAAAAUGGCCAAAGUUCUUCAUAUGAGUAAUGAUCGGAGACAAUGGGUAGCCAUUGGAGUGUUGACCGCUAUAUUGGUGUUUCUAAUAAUUUUAUUUAUAAUUAAGUGAAUCAUUUAAUUUCUUAGCUUCCCUAAGAAUUAUUGGUUCUUCUUCAUAGCAUUUAGUCAAGAUGUUUAUGAACUCCCUCUCCCCAAAUUCAGGUUCUAAAAUAUGGCAUUAUAUUGCAUCACAUAUCAGUCGAUGAUUGUGCAUUUUUUUUUACUCGUAUUAAACAUAAUUUAAUACUUCACUAAAAUAUUAUAUGUAAAAAAAAAUGAUUCGUGAUAUAUGUUGUAAAAUAUAUUUAGGCUUCUGCUGUAUUCCUUCUAAUCAUACAAAUGUUUCUGUCAAUUUUAAUAUUCACACAACAUGAAAGUAAUUAUAAACUGUUUUCUCGUAUUAACGCAUAAAUAAGUCACAAUAAUGUAUUACAUUCGAUUUUGUACAUUGGAGAUUAAAAACACUUGCCUUUUCUGGAAGGAACUUUCGAAGCUUUCUUAGAACUUAGAAGAGUACUUAGAAGACGUAAAAAUUAUAAAAUAAAUGCAUAUAGAUACUAUAUACAUGUUUGUACAUACGUACAAAUAAGCUGUAUUACAAAAAAUGUUAGACGAAUUGUAUAAUGUAAGUGGUCUAGUAAUGAUGUCUACUAUAUUAAAUCUUUGGUAUUGUGUUCAUUAUUGCAGUCACUUGUAUAUGUUAACACAAGAAGUUAAUUUUUCA
rnacentral:misc_RNA from 1 species